rnacentral:rRNA from 1 species
GCGAUACAGGGUGACAGCCCCGUACACAAAAAUGCACAUAUUGUGAGCUCGAUGAGUAGGGCGGGACACGUGGUAUCCUGUCUGAAUAUGGGGGGACCAUCCUCCAAGGCUAAAUACUCCUGACUGACCGAUAGUGAACCAGUACCGUGAGGGAAAGGCGAAAAGAACCCCGGCGAGGGGAGUGAAAAAGAACCUGAAACCGUGUACGUACAAGCAGUGGGAGCCUCUUAAUGGGGUGACUGCGUACCUUUUGUAUAAUGGGUCAGCGACUUAUAUUCUGUAGCAAGGUUAACCGAAUAGGGGAGCCGAAGGGAAACCGAGUCUUAACUGGGCGUUAAGUUGCAGGGUAUAGACCCGAAACCCGGUGAUCUAGCCAUGGGCAGGUUGAAGGUUGGGUAACACUAACUGGAGGACCGAACCGACUAAUGUUGAAAAAUUAGCGGAUGACUUGUGGCUGGGGGUGAAAGGCCAAUCAAACCGGGAGAUAGCUGGUUCUCCCCGAAAGCUAUUUAGGUAGCGCCUCGUGAAUUCAUCUCCGGGGGUAGAGCACUGUUUCGGCAAGGGGGUCAUCCCGACUUACCAACCCGAUGCAAACUGCGAAUACCGGAGAAUGUUAUCACGGGAGACACACGGCGGGUGCUAACGUCCGUCGUGAAGAGGGAAACAACCCAGACCGCCAGCUAAGGUCCCAAAGUCAUGGUUAAGUGGGAAACGAUGUGGGAAGGCCCAGACAGCCAGGAUGUUGGCUUAGAAGCAGCCAUCAUUUAAAGAAAGCGUAAUAGCUCACUGGUCGAGUCGGCCUGCGCGGAAGAUGUAACGGGGCUAAACCAUGCACCGAAGCUGCGGCAGCGACACUAUGUGUUGUUGGGUAGGGGAGCGUUCUGUAAGCCUGUGAAGGUGGCCUGUGAGGGUUGCUGGAGGUAUCAGAAGUGCGAAUGCUGACAUAAGUAACGAUAAAGCGGGUGAAAAGCCCGCUCGCCGGAAGACCAAGGGUUCCUGUCCAACGUUAAUCGGGGCAGGGUGAGUCGACCCCUAAGGCGAGGCCGAAAGGCGUAGUCGAUGGGAAACAGGUUAAUAUUCCUGUACUUGGUGUUACUGCGAAGGGGGGACGGAGAAGGCUAUGUUGGCCGGGCGACGGUUGUCCCGGUUUAAGCGUGUAGGCUGGUUUUCCAGGCAAAUCCGGAAAACCAAGGCUGAGGCGUGAUGACGAGGCACUACGGUGCUGAAGCGACAAAUGCCCUGCUUCCAGGAAAAGCCUCUAAGCAUCAGGUAACAUCAAAUCGUACCCCAAACCGACACAGGUGGUCAGGUAGAGAAUACCAAGGCGCUUGAGAGAACUCGGGUGAAGGAACUAGGCAAAAUGGUGCCGUAACUUCGGGAGAAGGCACGCUGAUAUGUAGGUGAAGCGACUUGCUCGUGGAGCUGAAAUCAGUCGAAGAUACCAGCUGGCUGCAACUGUUUAUUAAAAACACAGCACUGUGCAAACACGAAAGUGGACGUAUACGGUGUGACGCCUGCCCGGUGCCGGAAGGUUAAUUGAUGGGGUUAGCGGUAACGCGAAGCUCUUGAUCGAAGCCCCGGUAAACGGCGGCCGUAACUAUAACGGUCCUAAGGUAGCGAAAUUCCUUGUCGGGUAAGUUCCGACCUGCACGAAUGGCGUAAUGAUGGCCAGGCUGUCUCCACCCGAGACUCAGUGAAAUUGAACUCGCUGUGAAGAUGCAGUGUACCCGCGGCAAGACGGAAAGACCCCGUGAACCUUUACUAUAGCUUGACACUGAACAUUGAGCCUUGAUGUGUAGGAUAGGUGGGAGGCUUUGAAGUGUGGACGCCAGUCUGCAUGGAGCCGACCUUGAAAUACCACCCUUUAAUGUUUGAUGUUCUAACGUUGGCCCGUAAUCCGGGUUGCGGACAGUGUCUGGUGGGUAGUUUGACUGGGGCGGUCUCCUCCUAAAGAGUAACGGAGGAGCACGAAGGUUGGCUAAUCCUGGUCGGACAUCAGGAGGUUAGUGCAAUGGCAUAAGCCAGCUUGACUGCGAGCGUGACGGCGCGAGCAGGUGCGAAAGCAGGUCAUAGUGAUCCGGUGGUUCUGAAUGGAAGGGCCAUCGCUCAACGGAUAAAAGGUACUCCGGGGAUAACAGGCUGAUACCGCCCAAGAGUUCAUAUCGACGGCGGUGUUUGGCACCUCGAUGUCGGCUCAUCACAUCCUGGGGCUGAAGUAGGUCCCAAGGGUAUGGCUGUUCGCCAUUUAAAGUGGUACGCGAGCUGGGUUUAGAACGUCGUGAGACAGUUCGGUCCCUAUCUGCCGUGGGCGCUGGAGAACUGAGGGGGGCUGCUCCUAGUACGAGAGGACCGGAGUGGACGCAUCACUGGUGUUCGGGUUGUCAUGCCAAUGGCACUGCCCGGUAGCUAAAUGCGGAAGAGAUAAGUGCUGAAAGCAUCUAAGCACGAAACUUGCCCCGAGAUGAGUUCUCCCUGAGACUUAGAGUCUCCUGAAGGAACGUUGAAGACGACGACGUUGAUAGGCCGGGUGUGUAAGCGCAGCGAUGCGUUGAGCUAACCGGUACUAAUGAACCGUGAGGCUUAACCUU